GAGCGGAUGACGGGAGCUUGCUCCUUGAUUCAGCGGCGGACGGGUGAGUAAUGCCUAGGAAUCUGCCUGGUAGUGGGGGACAACGUUUCGAAAGGAACGCUAAUACCGCAUACGUCCUACGGGAGAAAGCAGGGGACCUUCGGGCCUUGCGCUAUCAGAUGAGCCUAGGUCGGAUUAGCUAGUUGGUGGGGUAAAGGCUCACCAAGGCGACGAUCCGUAACUGGUCUGAGAGGAUGAUCAGUCACACUGGAACUGAGACACGGUCCAGACUCCUACGGGAGGCAGCAGUGGGGAAUAUUGGACAAUGGGCGAAAGCCUGAUCCAGCCAUGCCGCGUGUGUGAAGAAGGUCUUCGGAUUGUAAAGCACUUUAAGUUGGGAGGAAGGGCAGUAAGCUAAUACCUUGCUGUUUUGACGUUACCGACAGAAUAAGCACCGGCUAACUCUGUG
rnacentral:rRNA from 1 species